rnacentral:rRNA from 1 species
GUGUCAGCAGCCGCGGUAAUACGUAGGGAGCGAGCGUUGUCCGGAUUUACUGGGUGUAAAGGGUGCGUAGGCGGCUCUGCAAGUCAGGCGUGAAAUACAUGGGCUUAACUCAUGGACUGCGUUUGAAACUGUGGAGCUUGAGUGAAGUAGAGGUAGGCGGAAUUCCCGGUGUAGCGGUGAAAUGCGUAGAGAUCGGGAGGAAAAACAGGGGCUAAGGCGGCCUACUGGGCUGUAACUGACGCUGAGGCACG